rnacentral:lncRNA from 1 species
CCUCGGCAUAUGGAGGUUCACAGGCUAGGGGUCCAAUCGGAGCUGUAGCUGCCUGCCUAUGCCAGAGCCACAGCAAUGCAGGAUCCAAGCCAUGUCUGAGGCCUACACCACAGCUCAUGGCAAUGCUGGAUCCUUAACCCUCCGAGCGAGGCCAGGGAUCAAACCUGCAACCUCAUGGUUCCUAGUCAGAUUCAUUAACCACUAAGCCAUGAUGGGAACUCUAAGAAAGAUAGCUUAAAUUGAUGGUUAGCUUUUUAGUGUCUCAUAAAAUUUUUAUGAUUGAUCUAAACAUAAUUGUUAAGAAGGAAAUUAAAGAGAUGUAAAUAAAAUAAAAGUUUGUAAAUAAAGUUUUCAACAACAGUUAUGUUUCAUGCUGUAUCUGUUUAAAAACAUUUCCUAAAACCGUUUAGGGACUUUGAAGCCUACAUAAUCAUAUAAGCCAAUUCCUUCUAACAAGUUUUGAAUUUAACAAAACUUGGGGAAGAUUUCCUUCAAAAGGUAGGGCUAUGAAGAGUUCCACUGUAGCUCAGCGGGUUGAGAACCUGCCUAGUAUCCAUGAGGUUGCAGGUUCAGUCACUGGCCUUGCUCACUGGAUUAAGGAUCCAGUGCUGCCAUGGGCUAUGGUGUAGUUUGCAUAUGCGGCUUGCAUCUGGUGUUGCUGUGGCUGUGGUGUAGGCCAGCAGCUGUAGUUCUGAUUCAACCCCUAGCCAGGGAACUUCCAUAUGCCAUAGGUACACAAAAUAUUCAGACUUCUUAUUGAAAGAAUGACUGAACAAGUGGUAGAACAGGAACACCAGGAUAUGAAUGUGACCCUAUGGAGAAAAAUGGGUACAAAAUUUAUACUUCAUCUUGUGUUCCACCUAAAUCUUACCAAAAAAGAGAACUUCAAGAACAAAUGAAUUUUUAGAAUUUUUUUAGAGCUAGAAUUAUUUGUCUUUUAGGUUUUUUUGCUUUAUGUUAUUACUUAUUUUUUAAAUUUUUUUUUUACCUUGAUUCAACACAUUUGGAGGAUUUUUAUGGGCCAUUUAGAAGUCAGUAAACUAAAAAACUAUUAUUGAUGUAGCUGGGAAAGGGAAGAGAGGCAGGAGGGAAAGCAGGGCAAGAAGAGUAGAGCUUAUCAUUUGCAGGUCAGGAUCCCAGAUUAAAAACUUAAUUCCCCAGGGUCAGAUAUGGGGGUUGGUAGGAGUGGGAGAAGCCACCACACCCUUGUUCUCAUGUUUAUUUUACCCAAUUCCUGUCUAGUGCUUCCUAAACUGAGAAAAAGCCAAUGGAAUCCAAGCAGGACAAAAACAGUACUUAGAGCUCAGUUUUGUUCUAUGUCAGAGAGCUUUGGAAGAACUGGGUCUGUUUCGAAGUGGUCCUGGAUUCUGCUUCACAAUGAAUGUGGAGUUUCAUUUUCCCAGGGACAAUGAAUGAUACUCUUCAUUAGGAACCUUUAUUUCAGGCCUCCAUUGAAUAAUUACUGGAUGGCUGAAUGCAUCCAAGUAGGAGCUCUCCCUCCACUGCACUGCUUGGCUCAUGUUCCAUUCCAGCUACUUCAAGCUCUUAUAAACAGCGUUCAUUUUCCAUUACAAACUAGGAAAUGUUACUGUAGCCAAGGUGCCUGGUCCCUGGAGAGGGCCUACCAGGGAGGCCAUUUCCUCACAUCUCAUUUUAGUUUGCAACUUGCUGGCGGGGUUGAGUAACCACUGAAGCUCCAUGUCUUCCAUCCUCUUCUGUUCCACUAACUUAUGAAACAGCCAGUGACCUGCUGGAGGACUCGCAGAUCAGCCAGAUGUUUCCUGAGCAAAGAGAGCAUGCACAGCAUCUUGCGAGGGGGGAGGGCUGACGGGCACUCACCCUGUCUGACAUCACUGGGUGAGGCAGCCUGUGGGAGAAUUUCAAAGCAGAGCCGCUUGGCCAGGGGAGAGCUCAGCUGGCAGCUCUGUGCUGGGAUUAACUGACCCAGAUAACCAGGGAGAAGGGAUCAGCAAUCUCAGUGUGUUUAUUCCCCGUGAGGGGUUAGACCUUCCCCUCCCUGAAUACCCAUGAGCUGUAGGAGACCCGCCCCCAGGGCUCCACAGACACAGUCAGCAUCACGUUCACUGUACUGACUCUCAUCCCCACUCCCGUUGCCCCUGACUUUUCCUGAGACUGAGCGGGAUGAACUCAAUUGGUUUCAAUGAACAGUAAUGAAAUAUUAAUAAUUACUAAUAAAUCAACUAAUCCUUCUUCCCCAAACAUAGGGGAGCUCACAUUCUAAAAAACCAGCUCCUUAUAGAUUACUGGCUUGUUAGAUAUGGGAUGAUAAGAACUAGUAAAUAGAAGUUCCUGUUUUGAUUCAUUGGUAACACAUCCAGCUAAUAUUCAUGAGGACGUGGGUUCGAUCCCUGGUCUCAUUCAGAGGGUUAAGUAUCAGGCAUUGCUGUGAGCUGUGGUACAGGUUGCGGAUGCAACUUGGAUCCUUUGUUGUUGUGGCUGUGGCAUAGGCCAUCAGCGGCAGCUCUGAUCCAACCCCCUAGCCUGGGAACUUCCCUAUGCUGCACGUGUGGCUCUGAAAAGACAAAAAAAACAAAAAAAACAACAAAAAAAAAACAAACAAAAAAAAAACAGUAAAAUAAAAUAAUUUUUAAAUAUAGGGAACAUUGACAUGAAUUUGACAGUGUCUCUUUGAAAGGUCAUUAAAAGUAAAUCAUAGCAAAACAAAACAAAACAAAACAAAAACAAAUAGAAUGCAUGUACCAUUUGCUAUUGCUACAAUCUCAUACAAGAAAGCUUAAUUCAACCUCCUCAACUCAAAUGCCUCCAAGGAAAUUUUCUUCAUUUCCAUAAUCACAUCCAAUUUUUAGGUUCUGAAACCUGAAAUUUCUAUAUGACCUGGAAUCUGACCCUUGCCUACUCUCUAAGCUCCACCUCCUCUUUUGCUUAUUCUUCUCCAGCCUUUUUGCUCUCCCUCAAACAUGCCUUGGACUUUGCAUUUGCUGUUCCAACAUCUGGGGUGCUCACCCAGAUCUGUGGACAGCACACUCCUGCAGUGGACAGCUUUCUGACACGGCUCCCACUGAUCUACCUCCUGGGAUUCACAUCUGUGUGAUCCCCUCCCCUUUGUCUGAGCUAGAACUAGUGCUUGCUUAUAAAGAGGCUAGAAAAGACCUGCUCUAAAGAACAGUAACAGCAAUGGGCUGUCACUUAGAUAUUAUGUUAUGAAAGAAUAUAGUGUCCUUCUUGCUCACUCUCUCUGCCUCUUAUAUGUAUGUAUAUGUGUGUGUUGUAGAUGGUGGUUAAUUGGCCGCGUUACUUUCCUACUCUCAUGAGAGACACUGGAGGUAGAGAGCCUCUGAAAAAGGGUCAUCUGUGCUGUUGCUCCCCUUUUACAACUGUGUUCUUCCAGGGGAGUCCUGACCGCUAGCUUUCUCUGCCAUUUUAUUUUAUUCACUUCUAUUUGUUUCUGGAGCAGGAAUUGUAACAAAUCUUAGAUUGAAAUCCUUAUGUGUUAAUUCUUAUGUAUGUACUUAUGUAUUUCACAUGUUAAAAACAGAAAAUAUGACUAUAUUACUUUUUAUGUACCUAUAUGUAUAUGUAGUCAGCUUAGCUACCAUCUUGAAACCAUUCUAUCUACUUCCUUUGUGUCAAUGCUUUCAAAUAUGGGAAGAUCUGUAUCAUAUGAUGACUUAUUCUUUCCUCUUUUGUCUAAAAAUACCAGGUUCCUUUAAUGGUUCUAAUCUCCAAUAAUUUUUUGACUUCUAUUGCCAAAAACUCCCUCCUCUAUUCCUGUUGGCACAUAAGAUUCAUUCAAUAGCACUAUAUGGCUUCCAAAGGGAGAGAAUACUCAGAGUACAGGGAAAUUAUUACUUCUCGUAAACUAUCAAUAUAGCCUCUGAUAUAUUGAUCCCUGGUAAAUUAUGUUUCCUGCCAUUUAUGGAUCAUUUUUUCUUCCCUUUUCAACUUAUCAGACAGCAAACUAUAUUAGUGUCUUUAGUGGAAGCCCAUUUUACUCACUGGUAUUAUGUCAUUCAUUUAUUUAAUAAAGAGUUAUCAAAGGCCAACUCUGUGCCAAGAGCCAAGGUGGGCACUGGCUGUAUAGAGAUAAGCAAACAAAGGUGUUUCUGGAAUUUAUCAGACUUAUGUAUAGCAUUCACAUUUUUGUAAUUGUUUGUAGACCUAUUAUUAUACAUAUAAUUGCUAGUGAUUAUAUUGUCAGAAUUGUAUUUUUUAAAAAGGAUAACAAUUUGAUAAAGCAAAACCAACAACACGAUGUUAACUGUAAAAUGUAAAAUGUAGUUGGGUGUUCACGGUGCACUUCUUUCUACUUUUCUGUAUAUUUGAAAUCUUUCAUAAUAAAAUUUGGGGGGGGAGAUUUUGGCUAUUCUUCACAAGCUAUAUUUCUUUUAUAGUCCUUAGCCAUCACAUUGUACCCUCUUUUAAAUUCUUUAGAUAGCUUUUCUUACUUUUUAUGAACUUCAGGAUACCACAGCCUCUAUCUUCCAGAGUUCCUGGGAGAAACUGUGAGCUCCCACUAAUUACUAGAAAGAGUCAGCGACACUUAGCAAGGAAGAGGAGGCAUAUCAGG